rnacentral:rRNA from 1 species
AUUCGACCUGAGCUCAGGC